AUUGAACGCUGGCGGCAGGCCUAACACAUGCAAGUCGAACGAGUGGCGGACGGGUGAGUAAUGUCUGGGAACCUGCCCGAUGGAGGGGGAUAACUACUGGAAACGGUAGCUAAUACCGCAUACCAUCGGAUGUGCCCAGAUGGGAUUAGCUAGUCGGUGGGGUAACGGCUCACCUAGGCGACGAUCCCUAGCUGGUCUGAGCGGAUGACCGGCCACACUGGAACUGAGACACGGUCCAGACUCCUACGGGAGGCAGCAGGGGGGAAUAUUGCACAAUGGGCGCAAGCCUGAGGCAGCCAUGCCGCGUGUAUGAAGAAGGCCUUCGGGUUGUAAAGGACUUUCAGCGAGGAGGCGGUACUCGAAGAAGAAGCACCGGCUAACUCCGUGCCAGCAGCCGCGGUAAUUC
rnacentral:rRNA from 1 species